GUGGGGGAUAUUGCACAAUGGAGGAAACUCUGAUGCAGCAACGCCGCGUGAGGGAAGAAGGUUUUCGGAUUGUAAACCUCUGUUUUUAGUGAAGAAACAAAUGACGGUAGCUAAAGAGGAAGCCACGGCUAACUACGUGCCAGCAGCCGCGGUAAUACGUAGGUGGCAAGCGUUGUCCGGAAUUACUGGGUGUAAAGGGUGCGCAGGCGGGAUUGCAAGUUGGAUGUGAAAUACCGGGGCUUAACCCCGGAGCUGCAUCCAAAACUGUAGUUCUUGAGUGGAGUAGAGGUAAGCGGAAUUCCGAGUGUAGCGGUGAAAUGCGUAGAUAUUCGGAGGAACACCAGUGGCGAAGGCGGCUUACUGGGCUCUAACUGACGCUGAGGCACGAAAGCAUGGGUAGCAAACAGGAUUAGAAACCCGAGUAGUCC
rnacentral:rRNA from 1 species